rnacentral:rRNA from 1 species
GCCUACGGGGGGCAGCAGUGGGGAAUAUUGCCCAAUGGGGGAAACCCUGAUGCAGCAACGCCGCGUGAGUGAAGAAGUCAUUCGUGAUGUAAAGCUCUAUCCGCAGGGAAGAAAAUGACGGUACCUGAGUAAGAAGCCCCGGCUAACUACGUGCCAGCAGCCGCGGUAAUACGUAGGGGGCAAGCGUUAUCCGGAUUUACUGGGUGUAAAGGGAGCGUCGGCGGCCAGACAAGUCUGUAGUG